rnacentral:rRNA from 1 species
GAUGAACGCUGGCGGCGUGCCUAAUACAUGCAAGUCGAGCGAACGGACGAGAAGCUUGCUUCUCUGAUGUUAGCGGCGGACGGGUGAGUAACACGUGGAUAACCUACCUAUAAGACUGGGAUAACUUCGGGAAACCGGAGCUAAUACCGGAUAAUAUUUUGAACCGCAUGGUUCAAAAGUGAAAGACGGUCUUGCUGUCACUUAUAGAUGGAUCCGCGCUGCAUUAGCUAGUUGGUAAGGUAACGGCUUACCAAGGCAACGAUGCGUAGCCGACCUGAGAGGGUGAUCGGCCACACUGGAACUGAGACACGGUCAAGACUCCUACGGGAGGCAGCAGUAGGGAAUCUUCCGCAAUGGGCGAAAGCCUGACGGAGCAACGCCGCGUGAGUGAUGAAGGUCUUCGGAUCGUAAAACUCUGUUAUUAGGGAAGGACAUAUGUGUAAGUAACUGUGCACAUCUUGACGGUACCUAAUCAGAAAGCCACGGCUAACUACGUG